rnacentral:rRNA from 1 species
UUUGAUCCUGGCUCAGAAUCAACGCUGGCGGCAUGCCUAACACAUGCAAGUCGAACGCGGUUAGUAGCAAUACUAACUGAGUGGCGAACGGGUGAGUAACGCGUGGGUGACCUACCUCCGAGUGGGGGAUAACGUCCCGAAAGGGACGCUAAUACCGCAUGACAUCCUGCCCUUGAACGGGUGGAGAUCAAAGCUGGGGAUCGCAAGACCCGGCGCUUGAAGAGGGGCCCGCGUCCGAUUAGCUAGUUGGUGAGGUAACGGCUCACCAAGGCGACGAUCGGUGUCCGGCCUGAGAGGGCGGACGGACACACUGGGACUGAGACACGGCCCAGACUCCUACGGGAGGCAGCAGUAGGGAAUCUUCCGCAAUGGACGAAAGUCUGACGGAGCAACGCCGCAUGAGUGAUGAAGGCUUUCGGAUCGUAAAACUCUGUUGUGAGGGAAGAACAAGUACGGGAGUAACUGUCCGUACCUUGACGGUACCUCAUUAAAAAGCCACGGCUAACUACGUGCCAGCAGCCGCGGUAAUACGUAGGUGGCAAGCGUUGUCCGGAAUUAUUGGGCGUAAAGCGCGCGCAGGCGGCCUUUUAAGUCUGAUGUGAAAGCCCACGGCUCAACCGUGGAAGGUCAUUGGAAACUGAAAGGCUUGAGUACAGAAGAGGAAAGCGGAAUUCCACGUGUAGCGG